GUACAUGCACAGUGGCAGUAUCAUAGCUAAUGAAGUUAAUCUGAGGCGUGAUUAUUGCUAGUUGAAAACUUAUCCCCAUUUUACAGAUGAGGAAAUUCAUUCCAUUACUGGUUGCCUCUCUAAGGG
rnacentral:snRNA from 1 species